GCCGGUGUGGCGGAAUGGCAGACGCGUUCGACUCAAAAUCGAAUGGGCAACCCCCGUGGAGGUUCGAGUCCUCUCACCGGUA
rnacentral:tRNA from 2 species